UUGAGAGUUUGAUCCUGGCUCAGAACGAACGCUGGCGGAAGGCUUAACACAUGCAAGUCGAACGAUCUCUUCGGAGAUAGUGGCAGACGGGUGAGUAACGCGUGGGAACCUACCUUAUUCUACGGAAUAACAGUUAGAAAUGACUGCUAAUACCGUAUACGCCCUUCGGGGGAAAGAUUUAUCGGAGAAGGAUUGGCCCGCGUUAGAUUAGAUAGUUGGUGGGG
rnacentral:rRNA from 1 species